rnacentral:rRNA from 3 species
CAUCCCGAACACGACCGUUAAGCCCUCCAGCGCCGAUGGUACUUGGACCGAAGGGUCCUGGGAGAGUAGGACGUUGCCAAGC